UGGCGGCGUGCUUAACACAUGCAAGUCGAGCGGGGACAUGGAGAAGCUUGCUUCGAAUGUCUAGCGGCGGACGGGUGAGUAACGCGUGAGCAACCUUUCCUCUACUGGGGAAUAACACAGGGAAACUUGUACUAAUACCGCAUGAGACCACAGAGCUGCAUGGCUUAGGGGUCAAAGAUUUAUCGGUAGAGGGUGGGCUCGCGUCUGAUUAGAUAGUUGGUGGGGUAACGGCCUACCAAGUCGACGAUCAGUAGCCGGACUGAGAGGUUGAUCGGCCACAUUGGGACUGAGACACGGCCCAGACUCCUACGGGAGGCAGCAGUGGGGAAUAUUGCACAAUGGAGGAAACUCUGAUGCAGCGACGCCGCGUGAGGGAAGAAGGUAUUCGUAUUGUAAACCUCUGUCUUCGGGGACGAUAAUGACGGUACCCGAGGAGGAAGCACCGGCUAACUACGUG
rnacentral:rRNA from 1 species